rnacentral:rRNA from 1 species
ACUCAAUAGCUAGCCUCU